GGUUCCAUGGUGUAGUGGUUAUCACGUCUGCUUUACACGCAGAAGGUCCUGGGUUCUAGCCCCAGUGGAACUA
rnacentral:tRNA from 1 species